rnacentral:rRNA from 1 species
UGACACAGGGAGGUAGUGACAAGAAAUAACAAUACGGGGCUUAAAGUCUUGUAAUUGGAAUGAUGGGAAUUUAAACCUCUUCCAGAGUAUCAAUUGGAGGGCAAGUCUGGUGCCAGCAGCCGCGGUAAUUCCAGCUCCAAUAGCGUAUAUUAAAAUUGUUGCAGUUAAAAAGCUCGUAGUUGAAUUUCUGCUGCAUUGCUUGUGUCCCUCUGGGGUCUGUGCAUGUGGCUUUUUUCGGACGGAGUUUCUUUGUCUGAAUGUUUACUUUGAGAAAAUUAGAGUGCUCAAAGCAGGCUUUCGCCUUGAAUAGUUUAGCAUGGAAUAAUAAAGUAGGACUUUGGUUCUAUUUUGUUGGUUUUAGGUACCAAAGUAAUGGUUAAUAGGAACAGUUGGGGGCAUUCGUAUUUAACUGUCAGAGGUGAAAUUCUUAGAUUUGUUAAAGACGAACUACUGCGAAAGCAUUUGCCAAGGAUGUUUUCAUUAAUCAAGAACGAAAGUUAGGGGAUCGAAGACGAUCAGAUACCGUCGUAGUCCU